GCCGCGCAGGCUCGGCGUUGGCCUCCGCGGCCCGUGCGAGUGCGCCCUUCUCGGGUCCCCUAGGUCGCGGGGCAGCCGGGGCGGAAGGGGCUUGUUCAUUAUUUUGAGAGUUUGUUGUGAACGUCAUAACCUUUCGUCCUUAAAUAUUGCCGAUACUUGACCUACGCAAGAGACAAUGUCAUGUGAUUCAGCCUAAUAUCUCAAUGUAAUAAGGACUUAUGAACAGAAGACAUGUCUGUGUGCCAGGCAGCUGUGAGACAAAAUCGUGGAUCUCCGCACUGUAAACCCCCAGACCCAGGACUUACAUAACCUAGGGAAAUGUUGUUUCAGAAGGGAUGUGUAGGACAGUUGAAGUACAAGAACAUCAAGGUCAUUUCACCCAAGGGCAGAAUUUAUGGAGGAUGCAGCAUUCAAGGUUCUAUCUUGGAAGCAGAGACUGUGCCCUCACCAGAUGCUGAACCUGCUGAGCACCCUGAUCUUCCACUUCACCUUCAUCAGAACUACUGGGGCUGUGGCUGAGAUGUCACAUGGCAGAUAGGAUCACAAAUUUCUGUUGUAUCUGGAUGGAGAUCAGCAGGAGGAUCUAUGGGUGAGAAGAAGCACAGUUACAGAUGGAUUCUAGAGCCUGCUUGCUGACACAGGCUUGCAACUGCGGACUUUAUAAGCUUAGUUUUUAAUCUGCUAUCAGCUAGCAUAAUACCAUAAAUGCAUAAGAAACUAAGUAUUCAGUCUUACGAGAAAUGCUAUCUUGACCUGACCCUUUCUCCAAAUAAAUUGACAAAAUAUCUCAUCGUCUAGGAUGCCAGACAGAAAUACCAGUUGCAAUGUUUUGUUGCAUAAAGUUUAUCCUAAUUUAAAUUAGUGGCAUAUAAAGUCAUCAUCUUGCUUGAACAAACAUCUUAUUAAAUUGAGCAUGUCUUUUAUCCCAUGAAAUGAAAUUAAUUUUGAGAUAGUUAUUUUUCAGUUGGAAAUUUAUUGAGUUGAUAGAAAACAAGUUAUAUAGUCUUCCAAAGAAUAUGUUACAUCCAUUUGCAUUUUGUUUUUCUUCAGCAAUGUUUGGUUUUUAGAAAAUCUUACAAGUUAAAUAUACUAAUGUAGAAAUUGAAAGAAAAUAAUCAGAGAUAGAGCAAUAAAUUUGCAAAUAAAGAUUAUUCUUAAAACAAA
ensembl:lncRNA LINC00882 long intergenic non-protein coding RNA 882